rfam:Gossypium arboreum cultivar AKA8401 contig_2031_3, whole genome shotgun sequence.
AUUCCGUGGUGAGGGCAUUUUCGUAAUAAUUCUUUGUAUUGUUCCCAUGCCUCAUACAAGGACUCAUCAUCCAUUUGUCGGAAGGCAAUGAUCUCGUUCCUCAACUU